UACGUAGGUGGCAAGCGUUUUCCGGAAUUAUUGUGCGUAAAGCGCGCGCAGGUGGUUCCUUAAGUCUGAUGUGAAAGCCCACGGCUCAACCGUGGAGGGUCAUUGGAAACUGGGGAACUUGAGUGCAGAAAGGGAAAGUGGAAUUCCACGUGUAGCGGUGAAAUGCGUAGAGAUGUGGAGGAACACCAGUGUCGAAGGCGACUUUCUGGUCUGUAACCGACACUGAGGCGCGAAAGCGUGGGGAGCGAACAGG
rnacentral:misc_RNA from 1 species